rnacentral:misc_RNA from 1 species
GUUUAUAAAAACGAACCCGACUGCUCACUCGCAAGAGAGAGCGUUGAUCUGGGCGCUCGUGUCUCUCUGUCUGUCCGUCUGUUGCUGUCUCCUCUCUUCGAGAGUGUAGCAGCAGCAGCAGCAGCAGCAGUCAAAACGACACGUCGCCUCAAACGAAACGCAAGAAAAAUGAUGAAUUCGUUCGUCUAGCUGGCGCGCGCGCUUACCGCUUGGAGAGUACUCGUUCGUCGAGUACUUCCGAUCGUUCUGCGUCGAGUCCCGGAGCUUCUCGCCUCGUCGAGCAGCGGACCGACGUCUAGCACACGAUCAGGCUCGUCCAUGAUUCGGUCAUUGAACGCGCGCGCGCCCCUCUUAAUCGACG